AGCACAAACACACAUCUAUCAUUCCUUCUUGUCCCAUGCAGAUGUGUGCCAGAUGGUGACAACAAGCUACACACAGCAUACAGAGACACAGUGACAGGGAUGCAGUGAUAUAUUACCUGCCAAGUACUUACAUUGAUAAGUAUAUAUACAACAAAUGCCCUAAUCAAUAUAAGGCCUGGCCCCUGCUACAGCAGUGACCUCGAUCUCAGCCCACAACAGCAGGAAUGGCAGUGAUUCUAAUCACUCAGUCAUGCAACCUUCAUCCUGUGGGGUGGGGACUGUGUUUGACUCAGUGCCCCAGGGCGAGGAUGCAGACUGGUCACUCCCACACAAAGAGGCCCAGUAACCAGGUACAAAAGUCUCGACAAAUCCACCAAGUUGUACAUCCCCUAUCAUAUUUCUCGCUCAAAGGAGUGUCCUGGGUUUGAGUCCUGUAGCAAUCCACCAUUACAGAUACCUGGUAUCAACACAUCGUUCAAUGAUGCAUCAGAUCCUGCAGCAAGCCUACAGAAGAACCACACCAUCUCAAUGUUCAAUAACGUCCUCCACUCCCUGACAAAUCAGAUCUAUCCGUCUCGUACCAUGGCAAGGAUUGACUGACAAGAUGAAAUUUCAUUAGCGAUUCCUAACCGGUGGUCAAGCUGAUGCAAGGUGAAGGCCGAACUGGACAGGGGACACUGCAGGUAUGCUCUGUGUCCACACACAACCGAGGUUACCUCAAGUUCAGCCUCAGUCCACGGACAUAAUUGACAGCUUGCUGGGAAACUGUAUCUUCCUAACUGAACAAUGCGCAUCUACAACAGGCAUACCUGUGUCUACAACUAGACUUAUUUUAGGCUACAAUAAAUUAUUAGUUAAUAAAUAAUUUACGCACAUUUUGAAAUUUCAAAUAUUCCUGCAUAUAUAAAGUGGAAAAAACAAUGUCUCGCCUUAUAAAUAAACGCUUCUUGUUUCAGUAUUAACAUGAUCUCUCAGAUGUUAAAUGUAACACAUGUUCAGAUUUAUUAUCACGAUUUAUAGAAAUCUCCUUUUCAAUUCAAACUCUCUUUACUUUCAUGGCAAACAUUCCGAUCACUUAUCAAACACAUACCUCUGCGAAAGGAGUUUUAUCACACCUCUCAAGAAACUUCAAAAGUGUGUCUUUGGUCAAGAUUAAUUCACAAAAAUGUCAACAAUUCAAACAAAAACUGAGGAGGGUUGUUUAAACAGUGAACAUGUGCUUGAAUCCUUCUGGGGUAGGUGAAUAAACUACAGCUUUACAGAUUCCAUUGUAGCGGUUAUGAUUUAUGACACAACAACACAAGGUUCCUCGCAAACCUCAAACGCUUGACUCCUGAAAGGUGUUAAAUCAUUCAUUGAAUACUUCUA